rnacentral:rRNA from 1 species
GAUGAACGCUGGCGGCGUGCCUAAUACAUGCAAGUCGAGCGAACGGGCGAGAAGCUUGCUUCUCUGAUGUUAGCGGCGGACGGGUGAGUAACACGUGGAUAACCUACCUAUAAGACUGGGAUAACUUCGGGAAACCGGAGCUAAUACCGGAUGAUAUUUUGAACCGCAUGGUUCAAAAGUGAAAGACGGUCUUGCUGUCACUUAUAGAUGGAUCCGCGCUGCAUUAGCUAGUUGGUAAGGUAACGGCUUACCAAGGCAACGAUGCAUAGCCGACCUGAGAGGGUGAUCGGCCACACUGGAACUGAGACACGGUCCAGACUCCUACGGGAGGCAGCAGUAGAGAAUCUUCCGCAAUGGGCGAAAGCCUGACGGAGCAACGCCGCGUGAGUGAUGAAGGUCUUCGGAUCGUAAAACUCUGUUAUUAGGGAAGAACAUAUGUGUAAGUAACUGUGCACAUCUUGACGGUACCUAAUCAGAAAGCCACGGCUAACUACGUG